rnacentral:rRNA from 1 species
AUACGGAGGAUGCAAGCGUUAUCCGGAUUUAUUGGGUUUAAAGGGUGCGUAGGCGGUUUGCUAAGCGGGAGGUGAAAUGCCGGCGCUCAACGUCGGAAGUGCCUCCCGAACUGGUGGACUUGAAUGACUCUGCCGUGGGAGGAAUGUGUAGUGUAGCGGUGAAAUGCUUAGAGAUUACACAGAACACCGAUUGCGAAGGCAUCUCACGAAGGGUUGAUUGACGCUGAGGCACGAAAGCGUGGGGAUCAAACAGGAUUAGAUACCCUGGUAGUCCACGCAGUAAACGAUGAUGGCUAACCGCUGGGCUUAUCAGUUCAGUGGCCAAGCGAAAGCGAUAAGCCAUCCACCUGGGGAGUACGACCGCAAGGUUGAGACUCAAAGGAAUUGACGGGG